rnacentral:lncRNA from 1 species
ACUGGGAAUUUCUGUGUUACCAAAGACUGCAUCUCAAUGUGCUUGAGCCUGAGACCAAAGCAGAGAUGAUAAUGAUGUCAGUGUGUUCAGAAGUACAUGGGCAGGAGGCACUAUGUCAUAUAAUGGACUAGAAGAAAGCACUACAGAGGACCAGUAAAGAUGUGAGCACUGCCCUGUGAGCUGCUCCUGCUCAGAAGUUCGGUCACAAAGUCAAUGGGUUCCCAGAAGGCCUGCUCUAAUCCAGGAUACACAGCUCCAUCAGUCUCUUGGGAGACUGCCUUUAAUCCAAGACAUCAAGGCCAGCUAAUAUCAGAGACAGCCAGAUGGUGAAAGGCAAGUGCAAGAACAUAACCAACACAACCCAAUUCAAUAUGGUACCAUCAGAACCCAGCUCUUCUACUACAGCAAGUCCUGGAUAUCCUAACACAUUAGAAGAGAAAUUGUGACUUUAAAUCUCAUCUAAUGAAGAUAAUAGAGGCCUUUAAAGAGGAUAUAAAUAAUUCCCUUAAAUGAGUUCAGGAAAACACAGUAAAAUGGUGGAAGCCCUUAAAGAGGAAACAAAAAGUCCCUUAAGGAAAUGCAAGAAAAAACAACCAAACAGGUGAAGGAUAUGAAGCAAUGAAGAAAACACAAAUGAAAGCAACCCUGGAGAUAGAAAAAUCUAGGAAAGAGAAUAGGAACUACAGACAUGAACAUUAAUAACAGAAUACAAGAGAUGGAAGAGAGAAUCUCAGGUGCAGAAGAUACCACAGAAGAAAUUAAUAAAUUGAUCAAAGAAAAUGCAAAGUAUCAAAAGUUCUUAAUCAAAAACUUCUAGGAAAUUUGGGACACAAUGAAAAGACCAAACCUAAGAAUAAAAGGAAUAGAAGAGGUUUAAGAUACCCAGUUCAAAAGGUCAGAAAAUAUCUUCAAUAAAAUCAUAGAAGAAAAUUCCCUAACCUAAUGAAAGAGAUGGCCAUAAACAUACAAGAAACCUAUAAAACACCAAAUAGAGUUGGCAAGAAAAGGAAAUUCUUCAGCCGCAUAGUAAUUAAAAACACUAAAUGUACAGAACAAAGAAAGAACAUUAAAGGUUGUGAAGAAUAAAACAAAGUAACAUAUAAAGACAGACCUAUCAGAAUUAUACCUGAUUGCUCAACAGAGACUCUAAAAGUCAGAAGAUCCUGGACAGAUGACUUGCAGACCCUCAGAGAUAACAGAUACCAGCCCAGACUACCAUAUCCAGCCAAACACUCAAUCACCAUAGGUGGAAAAACCAAGAUAUUACAUGACAACACCAAAUUUAAACAAUAUAUUUCUACUAAUCCAUCCCAACAGAGGAUACUAGAAGAAAAACUCCAACAAAAGGAGGGUAAAACUACACUCAAGAAAACACAAGAAGUCAAUCAUCUCACAAAAAACUUAAAAGAAGAGAAUCAAACACAGACAGUAUUAUUUCC